rnacentral:rRNA from 1 species
UACGUAGGGUGCAAGCGUUGUCCGGAAUUAUUGGGCGUAAAGAGCUCGUAGGCGGUUGGUCGCGUCGGCUGUGAAAACCCGGAGCUCAACUCCGGGCCUGCAGUCGAUACGGGCCGACUUGAGUGUUGCAGGGGAGACUGGAAUUCCUGGUGUAGCGGUGAAAUGCGCAGAUAUCAGGAGGAACACCGAUGGCGAAGGCAGUUAACUAUUCGGCUCCUGACGUUGAGGCACGAAAGCGUGGGGAGCAAGACGG